CUAUUGAAGAAGAAAAAUAUCCUUGAAAUUUGACGUUUUAAAGUAGAUAAGCUCAAAAACUAGGAUCGAAACAAGUGGCGCAAUAAACUGUUUCCAAAUAGUUGGAGCCACGUGAUGCGGAAAGCAUCUAUAAAGUGCAGUUUUGGGAUAAACUCGAAAGGUUUUGGUAUGGAUUCGAUUUUCUCAAUUAAACAUGUAACUAAAAUGUUUUUGGUGAAAUAUUUGAGUUAUUUCAGGCAUAUUAGGUGCACCCUUGUAAGAGAAACUCUCUCUCAAGAGCCCCGAGCCAAAAGCGCUGACGAGCGGAGCCAGACAAUCUGGCGCCAACACUUUCUAACCUCGUAACGGAGUGAAAAACAUACGCCACUUGCUUGAACCUGUGAGGUCUGAUCGCAAAAACGUCGUGUUAGCAGCAUGGUGUGCGUGUCGAGUGUCGGGAUGGAUAGGAUAGAAUUGUCCCGCAUUUAGUCACGUCCUAGGACUCGAGGGCAAUGAAACUUGACCAUCAUGAGAACGGAAGCCCGACAAAUCUUGUGAAGGGAUGGCAAUUUGGACGGAAAGCUCAACAAAGUUGUUAAAAAGGUUCCUACGUCAAGAAAAUACGCCUCUGAGCGAGUACUGACGGUAUACAGAAAUGUGUUAAUGUUUUGUUGCGGUCGCUUUUCUCGUCGGUUCGUUGAGCCUUGGUAGCGGAGGGCGCCAAUCAGCGCAUGGCGCGUAGCUCCCGUCCACUUUGCUAACAAGAUUAACGAGCAGCGCCAACUGGUCUGAGGACUUCGAACGUGAUGAAAUACUCCAUAAGUACGGAAUUCGCGCUAUCUCGUGCUAAUGGCGUUUACUCUUCUCCCCUGAGGUCAAAAACACGCUCACCAAACCAGGCCGAUUGCAUCAGCGAGUAGCGCACGAUGUAAAUCACGCGUAUCUAGAUUUUUCCCCUCUAUCUUCACUCUUUUGAUUUCAUUGUUUUCUGUACUAUUUUGGUCAGCAACGUUUGUUAUUGUUUUCACUCCCGUUUGAAACGUCGAAAUAACCAUCUCAUAUAUUAAACUCAACAAAAAAUCCGCAAAAGCUUCACUAAAUCAGCCGAUGGAAAUGGACUCUUUCUUACACUUGGUGUUUACAAGGAUGACAGACUAGUGGCUGAAAGACACUCUUUAAUUUUGCUGUAGUGCGGCUCAUUCAAUGAAAUGGAUUUGUUUGCUUUAUUCGUGUUUUAUUAAAACGAAAUAUUGAAUCGUGGAAAAUUGUGUCAAAAAUCCUUUUGAUCUUAAAAUGAGCUUAGUUUUAUACCGCAUGCCUAAUUCAAACGAAAUAUCAAUUCUCUGUAUUGCUCUACCUCGUGUUAGAAAAUGUGGUCUUUCGCCCGAGCAUGGAAUCGUGGGAUGAGGCCUCUUUGCCAGUCCGACUUGUGCUACGAUAGGCCAUGGGAAACUGGGGCUGAGUGGGCUCGAAGAGAUUGCUGGGAAGAGAUGCAUAUUGCUUUGAGGUGACUCUCUGCAAGAAAAAAGGGCAACAAUGUAUUAUAGCGACACCCACUUUACCGGACACCUGUAUUAUAGCGACACCCACUUUACCGGACACCUGUAUUAUAGCGACACCCACUUUACCGGACACCUGUAUUAUAGCGACACCUACUUUACCGGACACCUGUAUUAUAGCGACACCCACUUUACCGGACACCUGUAUUAUAGCGACACCCACUUUUACCGGACACCUGUCUUAUAGCGACACCCACUUUUACCGGACACCUGUAUUAUAGCGACACCCACUUUUACCGGACACCUGUAUUAUAGCGACACCGACUUUACCGGACACCUGUAUUAUAUUUGUUCCAAUGGUUACCUUUCUACGGGCAUCAAGCGCGAGGAGUCCCGGAAUCCCUUGGCGAACGGGUUGCUGUCUAUUUUAAGUCGUGUUAUCUAGGAGAGAAAAGGUUUUUUGAUUAAACAGAGAAAGUGUUGGUUGACGUUA